AGCCCCCUCUGUAGGAGCACCUUCCUUGAUCAAAUCCUGGUCACUACUAACGCUUAGUGUAGAGUGGACCUUCUUAGAAGAACUUUUUCUCAGUACGCUUUGCUUGUAUUUUCUGGGGCUGGCCGUUUAGAUAUGCAACUGCAGCUGUAAAGUAGCCAUUUUGGAGCUGGCUUCUGCUUACUGCCUCGCCCUCUCUUCCAGAUGGAUGAAGACUGUUUUACUACUGGUCUGCUGCUGAGAGUAGUUUGAGUGAAAUGAAAGGCACUGUGAGGUAAAGAGAAGGACACACUUCUUUAUGGUUCUUGCAUGAUCUGCUGGCUUUACUAGUCUCCACCACUCUCUGAAAUUACCUUGUUUGGAUUCCAAAUGAAUGAAGGAUCCCUCCAACGUAGUUUGGCUUCUGAAGUGUUGACACAGAAACAGCCCCAUAUACAUCGAAAGAACCAAAGGUCAGACCUGUGUUAGGCAUAUACUCCCCUGGCACCGUAGAAAUCCACCCAGAGGCCUGCAGAAAAGUUGGUUACACACAAGAAAAAAAUAUGGUGGUAGGAAGACUAAUUCAAGGAAGCUGGGAGGCAGGUGAAACCCAUUAUUUCAAGCCCUAGCCCCAUGUUAAGUGGAAGCAUAGGUCUUGUGUGCAAGUAGGGUUCUUAUAAUUCCUAACCUUGAAUGAUAUUCCUGCCUUUGAACAAUAUUGUUGUAUGUUAAAUGCUCGGUAAAAUAGCUGCCUUAAAAAUGCUUUCCCCUCACCCCUGGCCCCAUGCUUUUUUUUUUUUUUUAUUACAAGUGCAUACUGUGGCCAGUAUUACUUAGUAUCCUUCCUAUGCCUGAAAAAAGUGUUACUUUUAUGGAUGAUGUUAUGUUUAUGAGUCUUUGUCCAUCCUAGGCCUCCUCUACCCCACUGCUGCUUCCUCUGAGGUUUUGCUACUACAGGGUGUUAAUUUCCUGUUUUGACUCUGUCACAGAUGAAUUCACAGCCACCAUUUAAAAACAAACCAAAACACACACACACACACACAAUGCUGACAAAGGCACUAAUAAAACCCUAAAGUUUAAAGAGUGGCCCUGAAGUUUCUUCACAGAGCAGCAAGGGCACUUUUCACCUCUUUGGAGACGCACUCUUUGGGAAGGACUCUUUUUUUUUUUUUUUUUUUUCUGGCUCCAUGGAACGGUUGGAGUUUAAGCAAGUUGCAUUAGCAUUUGGGGUGAGUGUUUAGUCUGCAGACAGAUGGACUGAAAAGCACGCGCUGCUGACUUGAACCUUUAAAAUGGAAAGAUACAGAGCCAAGCGAGCCUUCUGACAUUCGUAGGAAAUGCAAGGAGAAACAAAAAGAUUGAGCUGACAUAUUGGUGACAAUCAGGAGAUGGGGCUGGUACAUGUGACCCACUGAGACUCUUGUCUCCUGUUUUGGUUACUGGCAAGAGGAAAAAUCAGUGUUUCCAGUGCAUAUUUUCUGUAAUAAUCCCCGCAUCUGUACUCUUGAAUAUUCAAAGUCUGAGAUGGAACUGAUUUACUAGAUCAUUCCCCUGCUGGUGUAGGAGUCUCAUAAUGUUUUUUUUUUUCCCCCUUGCUUUUCAUCUAGUUUGGAUUAAAAAUAUCUCAACUCACUCCCUUAGGAGACAAUCCUCUAAACUAACAGGCUUUUUUGACAUUCAGUCCACAUUUUUAUUUUCUAAAAUUCAUCCCAUUGAUCUUACUGCUACUCUGAAAACCCCUUCUUCCCCCCCCUUAGAGCAUACAGGUGUACAAGGGUUAUACUCAUUUUAUACACAGAACAGUUUAAAUUCAGGCCUCUCUGUUUUCAUUUAAAGAUAGUACCUUCUUUUCUGUUCACACCAGAUCCU